GGAUGUGAGGGCGAUCUGGCUGCAACUCCUAUCUCCCCAUUGAUCACCAGGGUUGAUCUGGCUGAUCUGGCUGGCCAGGCAGGUGUCCCCUUCCUCCCUCGCCACUGCAUGCAUGUCCUCCCCAAACUGUGAGCUUGGUUGAAGAGGACGGCCUCCUGCGUAGAGGAGGACCGUUCUUCCGUCAAGGGUAUACGAGUAGCUGCGCUCCCCUGCUAGAACUUCCAAACAAGCUCUCAAAUUGAGAUGUGUUGUAAUUGUAAAAUACAUACCAGAUUUCAAAAACUUUGCAUGUCAAAAGGAAUGUAAAAUAUAUUAAUAGUUCUUAUAU
rnacentral:snRNA from 1 species